UAGUCCACUUUUUUAUUUUGACUGUAAUGCAAACAGGCAUAGGUAUUUUAUUCCAUAAAAUCAAAAGAUUGGAACUAUACAGAGAGGUGCAUGCUUUAGAACAGUGUGGAUACCUCGCAAACAGAGCAGGAGUCAGUCCAUGAGAGAGGUGCUGGAGUACAUUGUAUGAAUGGCAGAGAUUUUAGCAGCAUUGAGAGCUCAGAGGUAGGGGAAACCAUGUUUCUGACUGCUUAAAGCACUGAUAUGAUCAAAUACAACACCUGCCCACCCUCACUCCCACCCCCACCCCCACCCUCCUUCCUCAGAAAGAAACCUACAUUUGAAUCACGUUUAAUGCUACAAAAUGUACCAAUCUGUCCACCCACCUCAGGAAACAUAAAGUGAGAGUCAAGCCGAUGCUCCAGUCUUAACUCAUGGCGUUGUUUAAAAAAUAAACGGAAGGCACAAUGAUACGAGGGGAAGGCGGAAGGGUCACGAGGCUGAGAGAAUUUGGAAAAGAUGGAGUUCCAGCGAACAUGGGAAAACCCAGGACAGUUAGAGGAUUCAGGAAACCUCUAGAAUGUGGAGGUUUCACCAAACCUUUGUCACAUUUCACAAAUGUCUCCAUUUCACUGUUGCGCCUUUGCUCUUCAUGACACAAGUCAUUUAAAAACCUGAGGUUUUCAAAUCUGCCAAAGGGAAUUGGAUACCCAGUUCUUUUAAAAUGAAUUGGAACAGAGCACCCAAAAUCCUUUGGGAGCUAGGAGAAUUUCAGCCUGUGUUUCUAACUAGAUGGGAGCCAGUGCCAUACAACCAGUCCUGCUCAAAAGGCACUCUUGCCCUGCUCCUGGGGAACCACAUACAGCCCAGAACUCAGACACUGUCAGAAGCAAGGAGAACUCAAUCUUCACCAUUCUUCAGGUCUUUUCAAAAUAUAAGAAACCAGGGUUUCUGAGGGGCUUCCCAAAUGGGCUAAAGCUAUUUCUUCCAGGUCAGGAGUUGACCCAAACUUGGGAGUUCCUGACAUUUGUCUAUUUUACAGCACUGUAACCAGAAUUGAUGUUUGGCCUGCAUUUUCUUGGCUUUCAAACCAUCACUUCAAGGCUGCACAUCAGCAAACCUCAUUUAAGGAAGGGUCUGAAAUGCAUUCCUACAUCAGAGGCAUUAGAGUGAGUUUUGUUAAUACACCAUUCUAUACCCCACACAGACAUGAAUGGAGGCAUGCAGGCUUGUUAGUUAAAGGUGGAUUUAGAUACAGUUUUUAAAAAGUUGUUUUAUUUCCCCUGAAGUUGGUAGAUGUUUUUUCAAAUUUUGAUUUUUUUUCAAGGUUUGUUUUGGACAAAAUAUUGAAUUUUGACUAACCCCCUCCCCCCCAACUCUUGAAGCCAUUUUUACAAUCUCCUCCCGCAUGUUUUUUGACCAGCUACAGUUUUGCUGGUCAAAACUUUGUCUAAUUUUGAAAUGUCAGUGAAAAUUUUCAACACAAAUGUCCCAA